rnacentral:rRNA from 1 species
AUUGAACGCUGGCGGCAUGCCUUACACAUGCAAGUCGAACGGCAGCACGGGAGCAAUCCUGGUGGCGAGUGGCGAACGGGUGAGUAAAGUAUCGGAACGUGCCCAGUCGUGGGGGAGAACGUAGCGAACGUUACGCUAAUACCGCAUACGCUCUAUGGAUGAAAGCGGGGGCUCGCAAGACCUCGCGCGAUUGGAGCUGCCGAUAUCAGAUUAGGCAGUUGGUGGGGGAAAGGCUCACCAAGCCGACGAUCUGUAGCUGGUCUGAGAGGACGACCAGCCACACUGGGACUGAGACACGGCCCAGACUCCGACGGGAGGCAGCAGUGGGGAAUUUUGAACAAUGGGCGAAAGCCUGAUCCAGCCAUGCCGCGUGCAGGAUGAAGGCCUUCGGGUUGUAAACUGCUUUUGUACGGAACGAAAAGGUUUGGCCUAAUAAGCUGAGCUCAUGACGGUACCGUAAGAAUAUGCACCGGCUAACUACGUGCCAGCAGCCGCAGUAA